GUGUAUAUAGUAUAGGGUUUAUGUUCAAUUUAUGUUUGAGAGAUGUAAAGUACAUA
rnacentral:tRNA from 1 species